GAUGAACGCUGACAGAAUGCUUAACACAUGCAAGUCUUUGGCGAAGCUGUGCUUGCACAGCCUAGCCAAGGCGGACGGGUGAGUAACGCGUAAGGAACUUGCCCUGCAGUCAGGGAUAACAGACGGAAACGACUGAUAAGACCUGGUAAAGUCAGGCGGACUCAUGUCCAGCCUGAUGAAAAGAGAUGCUGCAGGAGAGCCUUGCGUCCUAUUAGCUUGUUGGUGGGGUAACGGCCCACCAAGGCGAUGAUAGGUAGCCGGCCUGAGAGGGUGGACGGCCACAAGGGGACUGAGAGACGGCCCUUACUCCUACGGGAGGCAGCAGUGGGGAAUAUUGGACAAUGGGGGCAACCCUGAUCCAGCAAUUCUGUGUGCACGAUGAAGGUUUUCGGAUUGUAAAGUGCUUUCAGCAGGGAAGAAAAAAAUGACGGUACCUGCAGAAGAAGCGACGGCUAAAUACGUG
rnacentral:rRNA from 1 species